rnacentral:rRNA from 1 species
AGAGACAGCAGCAGCCACGGUAAUACGAAGGGGGCUAGCGUUGUUCGGAUUUACUGGGCGUAAAGCGCACGUAGGCGGAUCGAUCAGUCAGGGGUGAAAUCCCAGAGCUCAACUCUGGAACUGCCUUUGAUACUGGGUAUCUUGAGUAUGGAAGAGGUGAGUGGAAUUCCGAGUGUAGAGGUGAAAUUCGUAGAUAUUCGGAGGAACACCAGUGGCGAAGGCGGCUCACUGGUCCAUACUGACGCUGAGGUGCGAAAGCGUGGGGAGCAAACAGGAUUAGAUACCCCUGUAGUCCCUGUCUCUUAUACA